rnacentral:tRNA from 1 species
GCCGGAGUGGCGGAACUGGCAGACGCGCAGGUUUUAGGAACCUGUGGGGUAACACUCGUGGAGGUUCAAGUCCUCUCUCCGGCA